rnacentral:rRNA from 1 species
UACGGAGGGGGCUAGCGUUGUUCGGAAUUACUGGGCGUAAAGCGCACGUAGGCGGCUUUGUAAGUUAGAGGUGAAAGCCCGGGGCUCAACUCCGGAAUUGCCUUUAAGACUGCAUCGCUAGAAUUGUGGAGAGGUAAGUGGAAUUCCGAGUGUAGAGGUGAAAUUCGUAGAUAUUAGGAAGAACACCAGUGGCGAAGGCGGCUCACUGGCCCGGUACUGACGCUGAGGCGCGAAAGCGUGGGGAGCAAACAGG